rnacentral:tRNA from 1 species
GGCGGGGUAGCUCAGCUGGUUUAGAGCGCUCGGCUCAUACCCGAAAGGUCGACGGUUCAAUCCCGUCCCCCGCUACCA